AGUGAACGCUGGCGGUAGGCCUAACACAUGCAAGUCGAACGGCAGCACAGUAAGAGCUUGCUCUUACGGGUGGCGAGUGGCGGACGGGUGAGGAAUACAUCGGAAUCUACUUUUUCGUGGGGGAUAACGUAGGGAAACUUACGCUAAUACCGCAUACGACCUACGGGUGAAAGUAGGGGAUCUUCGGACCUUGCGCGAUUGAAUGAGCCGAUGUCGGAUUAGCUAGUUGGCGGGGUAAAGGCCCACCAAGGCGACGAUCCGUAGCUGGUCUGAGAGGAUGAUCAGCCACACUGGAACUGAGACACGGUCCAGACUCCUACGGGAGGCAGCAGUGGGGAAUAUUGGACAAUGGGCGCAAGCCUGAUCCAGCCAUACCGCGUGGGUGAAGAAGGCCUUCGGGUUGUAAAGCCCUUUUGUUGGGAAAGAAAAGCAGCAGGUUAAUACCCCGCUGUUCUGACGGUACCCAAAGAAUAAGCACCGGCUAACCUCGUG
rnacentral:rRNA from 1 species